rnacentral:lncRNA from 1 species
AUUCUUAGUACCCAUGGCAUAUCUACUUGAAGUGGGUCAUCAUUUUUACCAGUGUAGUCACGAAAUGAGCAGAUAAUGGACAUAGAACACACAGACUUCAUGUGUGGCUUUUGAUCUGACUUAUUUUAACUUCAGUUCAAGGACAGCUUUAACCUAACCUCCAAAUAGCACACAAAUCUCUCUUUUUGGCUAGAUUUAUGAGACAGGCGAAAGGCUUCUAGCUAUUCAAGAACAUCUUCUUUGGCUGGAUAUACUCGCAGUUAUUAAUUAAUCCAUGGAGACCCGACUCGUGCCAAGCGGCGAGGCUACCAUAUUGAGACACGAUCUCGCAUCUCGGACCGCACUGCUCUCGACAGUUUAGCGGCUCCGACCGACACAGCCAACAAUGUUGUGUAUGGGAUGUAGAUGAUGAUACCAGUUUGCCUCAACCUUGAGCAGAGCGACAACAACAUUUGCGUACACGUCGUACCCAGUGCGAGGUACGAGACUUACCAGUACCCUGAAGAGCACUUCUUGAACUCGUCGCUGGUAACUUUGUUAUUGCUGUCGCCACGAUAACGCGGAUGCGAAAAAAGUGAAUGUAUAAGCCACUCGAUGACGUUGCCCGAGAAGCAAAGAAGAUGCUGCCGCCGCCGCCUCCGGUACGUGACAGAACCAUUAACUUAACCAGCUUGUGACUUGUUACGCUCUGAACCUAAAUAAUAUUUUUGGACCUCUGCC